UACAGAGGUCUCAAGCGUUGUUCGGAAUCACUGGGCGUAAAGGGUGCGUGGGCCGCACGGUAAGUCAGAGGUGAAAUCCCGGAGCUCAACUUCGGAAUGGCCUCCGAUACUGCCGUGCUUGAGGACUGGAGAGGAGUCUGGAAUUCACAGUGGAGCAGUGAAAUGCGUAGAUAUUGUGAGGAACACUAGUGGCGAAGGCGAGACUCUGGACAGUUCCUGACGCUGAGGCACGAAGGCCAGGGGAGCAAACAGG
rnacentral:rRNA from 1 species